rnacentral:rRNA from 1 species
UGUAAGAUGGGCCCGCGUUGGAUUAGGUAGUUGGUGGGGUAACGGCCUACCAAGCCGACGAUCCAUAGCCGACCUGAGAGGGUGACCGGCCACAUUGGGACUGAGACACGGCCCAAACUCCUACGGGAGGCAGCAGUGGGGAAUCUUCCGCAAUGGGCGAAAGCCUGACGGAGCAACGCCGCGUGAGUGAAGAAGGUCUUCGGAUUGUAAAGCUCUGUUGUACAUGACGAAUGUGCGGGAUGUGAAUAAUGUCCCGUAAUGACGGUAGUGUACGAGGAAGCCACGGCUAACUACGUGCCAGCAGCCGCGGUAAUACGUAGGUGGCAAGCGUUGUCCGGAAUUAUUGGGCGUAAAGAGCAUGUAGGCGGCCUAUUAAGUCGGGCGUGAAAAUGCGGGGCUCAACCCCGUAUGGCGCCCGAUACUGGUGGGCUUGAGUGCAGGAGAGGAAAGGGGAAUUCCCAGUGUAGCGGUGAAAUGCGUAGAUAUUGGGAGGAACACCAGUGGCGAAGGCGCCUUUCUGGACUGUGUCUGACGCUGAGAUGCGAAAGCCAGGGGAGCGAACGGAAUUAGAUACCCCGGUAGUCCUGGCCGUAAACGAUGGGUACUAGGUGUAGGGGGUAUGGACCCCUUCUGUGCCGGAGUUAACGCAAUAAGUAAUCCACCUGGGGAGUACGACCGCAAGGUUGAAACUCAAAGGAAUUGACGGGGGCCCGCACAAGCAGUGGAGUAUGUGGUUUAAUUCGACGCAACGCGAAGAACCUUACCAAGUCUUGACAUCCCUUGACAGACAUAGAAAUAUGUUUUCUCUUCGGAGCAAGGAGACAGGUGGUGCAUGGUUGUCGUCAGCUCGUGUCGUGAGAUGUUGGGUUAAGUCCCGCAACGAGCGCAACCCUUAUGGUCAGUUACUACGCAAGAGGACUCUGGCCAGACCGCCGUUGACAAAACGGAGGAAGGUGGGGAGGACGUCAAAUCAUCAUGCCCUUUAUGACUUGGGCUACACACGUACUACAAUGGCGUUAAACAAAGAGAAGCAAGACCGCGAGGUGGAGCAAAAAUCAGAAACAACGUCCCAGUUCGGACUGCAGGCUGCAACUCGCCUGCACGAAGUCGGAAUUGCUAGUAAUCAAGGAUCAGCAUGCCACGGCGAAUACGUUCCCG